rnacentral:rRNA from 1 species
AAUUUAUUAGUAUAAUACGAAGUUACAUGGAUAACCGUAGACAAAUUACAAGCUAAUACAUGCAAUCAGACCUGGUCCAAGGGUCGUAAUUAUUAGUACUAAACCAUUUCCGUCAGGAAUGUGAUGAUUCAUAGUAAUCGAACGAAUCGCAGGUAUAUGCGAUAAGUCAUUCAAGUUUCUGCCCUAUCAGCUUUGGAUGGUAGUGUAUUGGACUACCAUGGCAGUCACGGGUAACGGAGAAUUAGGGUUCGAUUCCGGAGAGGGGAGCCUGAGAAACGGCUACCACAUCUACGGAAGGCAGCAGGCGCGCAAAUUGCCCAAUCCUGACACGGGGAGGCAGUGACAAGAAAUAACAACUCUAGGAUUUCUUAGAAGUGUAAUGAGGAUAAUUUACAAACCUUACCGAAUGCAAUUGGAGGGCAAGUCUGGUGCCAGCAGCCGCGGUAAUUCCAGCUCCAAU